UGGGGCGGUGCCUAUUACAUGCAAGUCGAGCGAACUGAUUAGAAAGCUUGCUUCUAUGACGUUAGCGCCCCCCACGAAAUGAGUAACACGUGGGCAACCUGCCUGUAAGACUGGGAUAACUCCGGGAAACCGGAGCUAAUACCGGAUAACAUUUUCUCUUGCAUAAGAGAAAAUUGAAAGAUGGUUUCGGCUAUCACUUACAGAUGGGCCCGCGGUGCAUUAGCUAGUUGGUGAGGUAACGGCUCACCAAGGCAACGAUGCAUAGCCGACCUGAGAGGGUGAUCGGCCACACUGGGACUGAGACACGGCCCAGACUCCUACGGGAGGCAGCAGUAGGGAAUCUUCCGCAAUGGACGAAAGUCUGACGGAGCAACGCCGCGUGAGUGAUGAAGGCUUUCGGGUCGUAAAACUCUGUUGUUAGGGAAGAACAAGUACAAGAGUAACUGCUUGUACCUUGACGGUACCUAACCAGAAAGCCACGGCUAACUACGUGCCAGCAGCCGCGGUAAUACGUAGGUGGCAAGCGUUAUCCGGAAUUAUUGGGCGUAAAGCGCGCGCAGGCGGUUUCUUAAGUCUGAUGUGAAAGCCCACGGCUCAACCGUGGAGGGUCAUUGGAAACUGGGGAACUUGAGUGCAGAAGAGAAAAGCGGAAUUCCACGUGUAGCGGUGAAAUGCGUAGAGAUGUGGAGGAACACCAGUGGCGAAGGCGGCUUUUUGGUCUGUAACUGACGCUGAGGCG
rnacentral:rRNA from 2 species